UACAGGGGGUGCAAACGUUGCUCGGAAUCAUUGGGCGUAAAGCGCACGUAGGCGGUCUGUUAUGUCGGAUGUGAAAGCCCUUGGCUCAACUGAGGAAGUGCAUCCGAAACUGGCAGGCUAGAGUACUAAAGAGGAUCGCGGAAUUCCCGGUGUAGAGGUGAAAUUCGUAGAUAUCGGGAGGAACACCGGUGGCGAAGGCGGCAUCCUGGACCAAUAUUGACGCUGAGGAGCGAAAGCCAGGGGAGCAAACGGG
rnacentral:rRNA from 1 species